rfam:Triticum aestivum genome assembly, contig: Triticum_aestivum_CS42_TGACv1_scaffold_072556_1DL
AAAGUACUCCCUCCGUCCCAAAAUCUUUUUCUAGAUACGGAUGUAUCAAGUCACAUUUUAGUAUUAGAUACAUCCGUAUCUAGAAAAAUCUAAGACAAGAAAUUUGGGACAGAGGGAGUAGUUG